GUCCUACGGGAGGCUGCAGUGAGGAAUAUUGGUCAAUGGGCGAGAGCCUGAACCAGCCAAGUCGCGUGAGGGAGUACUGCCCUAUGGGUUGUAAACCUCGUUUGUCGGGGAGCAAAAGCCGGACGUGUCCGGCUGUGAGAGUACCCGAAGAAAAAGCAUCGGCUAACUCCGUGCCAGCAGCCGCGGUAAUACGGAGGAUGCGAGCGUUAUCCGGAUUUAUUGGGUUUAAAGGGUGCGCAGGCGGAGUUUUAAGUCAGCGGUCAAAUCGUGGGGCUCAACCCCGUCCAGCCGUUGAAACUGGGGAUCUAGAGUGUGCGAGAGGUAUGCGGAAUGCGUGGUGUAGCGGUGAAAUGCAUAGAUAUCACGCAGAACCCCGAUUGCGAAGGCAGCAUACCGGUGCACAACUGACGCUCAGGCACGAAAGCGUGGGUAUCGAACAGGAUUAGAUACCCCUGUAGUCCA
rnacentral:rRNA from 1 species